GAGUCCAAAGGGUACAAAGAAUUAGCUGGGGACCUUGCAGGGGUGAGCGUGCUACACACAGGCCGGUUGCUCACAGGGACAAAAAGCAAGUAGUGGUAGGGAGAGGGGAAAGGAAACUCAGCUUUCAUGUUAACACCGCUUGGUAUCAUCUGAAUCUUGCCAUACAACACCUCCAACCUUCAAAUGUUCCUGGAAAAGCCCUUGGGAGUUUGAAUCUGAGCUCUGCAGCUGAUAAGCUGCGUGCAACCAGGGGCAGAUGGUGGCAGGACUUCCCAGGCUCAGUUUGUACGUCUGGGAAAUGGAGGCGGUCACGCGGUUCACAGAGGGUGGCCCCCCAGCCCAGGCUGCUCCUCGGGCAGGAGAUGAACAAUUCUGCAGCAGCAGGCCCAUCCUAGACCCCACCUGGCCCUCUGGAGGGCCCCUCCAAGGAGCCCUCACCCCGCCCCCCCACCAUGCUGCCCCUGCAGGUGGCCCUCCGGGUACCACAUGGUGAGUCUCCGGCUGGCGUGUGUGGAGGGAGAUGGAGUGUGGACCCCUGAGGAUUGCCCCAGAGGAGGGCAAAAUGUGG
rnacentral:lncRNA from 1 species